rnacentral:lncRNA from 1 species
CUACUGUAUCUGUUUUCCUGACUUGGAAUCAACCUGAUGAGUAUAGAAGUGAUUACACCUACAGAGUACAAAUAGUCAGCCCUUCAUCUGUAGUGAUAAAUCAAACAACGGCAUCAAAUCAACUCAAUGUAACUAAUCUGACACCCGGAGUAACAUAUACAUUCACUGUAUUUACAAGAGCGGCUGAUAAUGUCACUGAAAGUCAAUCUGUCUCAUAUACAACCUGCACAGG